rnacentral:tRNA from 1 species
CAUUAAGAAGCUUUUACAGCAUUAGCCUUUUAAGCUAAAGAAGGGCCUAUAGCCCCUUAAUGA